rnacentral:rRNA from 1 species
UACGGAGGGUGCAAGCGUUAUCCGGAUUCACUGGGCGUAAAGGGCGCGUAGGUGGCGCUGCAAGUCGGUGGUGAAAGCUCGUCGCUUAACGACGAGUCGGCCAUCGAAACUGCAGGGCUCGAGCACUGUAGGGGCUAAUGGAAUUCCGGGUGUAGCGGUGGAAUGCGUAGAGAUCCGGAAGAACACCAGUGGCGAAGGCGGUUAGCUGGGCAGUUGCUGACACUGAUGCGCGACAGCGUGGGGAGCAAACGGG